GAUUAACGCUAGCGGCAGGCCUAAUACAUGCAAGUUGUACGGGAUUAUUGGUAGCAAUACUGAUAUGAGAGUAGCGCACGGGUGCGUAACACGUAUGCAACCUACCUUUAACUGGGGAAUAGCCUUCCGAAAGGAAGAUUAAUACCGCAUAACAUUGCGAAACGACAUCGUUUUGCAAUUAAACCUACGGGGGUUAGAGAUGGGCAUGCGUCCGAUUAGCUAGUUGGCGGGGUAAAGCCCACCAAGGCAACGAUCGGUAGGGGUCUGAGAGGAUGAUCCCCCACACUGGUACUGAGACACGGACCAGACUCCUACGGGAGGCAGCAGUAAGGAAUAUUGGACAAGUGGGGCAACCCUGAUCCAGCCAUGCCGCGUAGAAGGAUG
rnacentral:rRNA from 1 species